GAUGAACGCUGGCGGCGUGCUUAACACAUGCAAGUCGAACGAUGAAGCCCAGCUUGCUGGGUGGAUUAGUGGCGAACGGGUGAGUAACACGUGAGUAACCUGCCCUUGACUCUGGGAUAAGCCCGGGAAACUGGGUCUAAUACCGGAUAGGAGCGCCUGUCGCAUGACGGGUGCUGGAAAGAUUUUUCGGUCAUGGAUGGACUCGCGGCCUAUCAGCUUGUUGGUGAGGUAAUGGCUCACCAAGGCGACGACGGGUAGCCGGCCUGAGAGGGUGACCGGCCACACUGGGACUGAGACACGGCCCAGACUCCUACGGGAGGCAGCAGUGGGGAAUAUUGCACAAUGGGCGGAAGCCUGAUGCAGCGACGCCGCGUGAGGGAUGACGGCCUUCGGGUUGUAAACCUCUUUCAGUAGGGAAGAAGCGAAAGUGACGUACCUGCAGA
rnacentral:rRNA from 1 species